rnacentral:rRNA from 1 species
UAAGGAAUAUUGGUCAAUGGACGCAAGUCUGAACCAGCCAUGCCGCGUGGAGGAUGAAGGUCCUCUGGAUUGUAAACUUCUUUUAUCUGGGACGAAAAAAGGGAAUUCUUUCUCGUCUGACGGUACCAGAUGAAUAAGCACCGGCUAACUCCGUGCCAGCAGCCGCGGUAAUACGGAGGGUGCAAGCGUUAUCCGGAUUCACUGGGUUUAAAGGGUGCGUAGGCGGGUAUGUAAGUCCGUGGUGAAAUCUCCGAGCUUAACUCGGAAACUGCCGUGGGUACUGCGUAUCUUGAAUGUUGUGGAGGUGAGCGGAAUAUGUCAUGUAGCGGUGAAAUGCUUAGAUAUGACAUAGAACACCAAUUGCGAAGGCAGCUCACUACACAGAAAAUUGACGCUGAGGCACGAAAGCGUGGGGAUCAAACAGGAUUAGAUACCCUGGUAGUCCACGCCCUAAACGAUGAUUACUCGACAUACGCGAUACACAGUGUGUGUCUGAGCGAAAAGCAUUAAGUAAAUCCACCUGGGGAAGUACGACCGCAAGGUUGAAACUCAAAUGAAAUUGACGGGGUCAUAGCUGUUUCCUG